GACGAACGCUGGCGGCGUGCUUAACACAUGCAAGUCGAACGGAAAGGCCCUGCUUUUGUGGGGUGCUCGAGUGGCGAACGGGUGAGUAACACGUGAGUAACCUGCCCUUGACUUUGGGAUAACUUCAGGAAACUGGGGCUAAUACCGGAUAGGAGCUCCUGCUGCAUGGUGGGGGUUGGAAAGUUUCGGCGGUUGGGGAUGGACUCGCGGCUUAUCAGCUUGUUGGUGGGGUAGUGGCUUACCAAGGCUUUGACGGGUAGCCGGCCUGAGAGGGUGACCGGCCACAUGGGGAGUGGGAUGCGGCCCGGGCUCCUACGGGGGGCAGCGGUGGGGAAUUUUGCACAAGGGGGGGAGGCCGGAGGGAGAAACGCCGCGGGGGGGAUGACGGCUUUGGGGUUAUAAACCGCUUUGGCCUGGGACAAAGGGUGGGGGAGGGUAAUGGGUAAAGAAGCACCGGCUAACUAGGU
rnacentral:rRNA from 1 species